rnacentral:tRNA from 1 species
GGAGGGGUGCUAGAGCGGUUUAAUAGGACAGUCUUGAAAACUGUUGAGCCUUCACGGGUUCCGAGAGUUCGAAUCUCUCCCCCUCCGCCA